GCGGGGCCGGCGCCAUUUUGCCGGAGCCUGCGACCGAGUGGGAGUGGAGUGGAGCGGCCGUUGUUGCCGACUCUUUCCUCCUCCCCACGGUCCAGUCAGCGGUUGAUUAGGCCAUCGGCCCUCAAGCCGAGACUUGUCUCUCAUUUAGUUUUGGGGAGCGUCUGGCCGACAUGAGUGAUGUAGAGGAGAACAACUUCGAGGGCAGAGUGAGUACAAAGCCGCGGGAGCCGUCUUCGGCGGCGGCCCGAUGCUCGGGGUUUCACGGGGACGAGCGCGGUCGGGCGGGGUUGCGGGGAGUCCUGCGGGGUCCCGCGGGGAGCAGCCUCUGGAGCCAUCACGGUUGUUUCCUCACAUACCAAGAUGGCUUCUGGGUUCCACUCUUUCCCCCAAACACCACGGAUAACCCCCUCUCCCCCUUUUUUUGGAGACUGACUGAUACCUGGACUCCUAGGUCCGAUUUCCCCCCGCAGUGGCGCGCUCCCUUCUCCCCACCCCUGAGGCUUCCUUAUCUCUGUUCCGAGGAGUGGGUCCCCGUCGCGGUGGGGCGGGAGGAGACGGCAGGGAAUUCCCCUCCGGCCGGAUAGUGGUAGGUGCUUCCUGCGGUGGCAUUUCUGGCGACCCCGAGCAUCGUAGAGGGUCUCGGGGUCGAAACUGCGCGGGGCUGUUGUCCGGGCGGGGAGAAGCUGGCGUGGGACUAGCUGGGGCCUGUGUCUCCUUGGCUCUCUAUUGCAGUGAGCGGCCGCGUCUCUGUUGGAACCGGCGGCGUUGCGUCUAUAAAGGCGAAAGCCUUG
rnacentral:lncRNA from 1 species